GGAUAUGAGGGCGAUCUGGCUACGACAUCUGUCACUCCACUGAUCGCCAGGGUUGAUUCGGCUGAUCUGGCUGGCUAGGCGGGUGUCCCCUUCCUCCCUCACCACUCCAUGUGCGUCCCUCCUGAAGCCGUGCGCUUGUUCAAAGAGGACAACCUUCCCCGGUAGAGGAGGACAAUUCUUUGGUCAAGGGUAUACGAGUAGCUACACUCCCCUUCUAGAACCUCCGAACAAGCCCUCAAGGUCCAUUUGUAGGAGAAAGUAGGGCAGUCAAGCUUCCAAGACUCCAGACACAUCCCAAUGAAUUG
ensembl:misc_RNA 7SK 7SK RNA